rnacentral:rRNA from 1 species
UGGGGAAUUUUGGACAAUGGGGGCAACCCUGAUCCAGCGACGCCGCGUGGAGGACGAAGGUCUUCGGAUUGUAAACUCCUUUUUGGGGGACGGAAUGACCUGGCGAAAAGCCAGGAGUGACUGGUACCUCAGAAUAAGCCACGGCUAACUUCGUGCCAGCAGCCGCGGUAAUACGAAGGUGGCAAGCGUUACUCGGAAUUACUAGGCGUAAAGCGCAGGUAGGCGGUUCGAUAAGUCUUUUGUGAAAGCUCCCGGCUUAACUGGGAGAGGUCAAAGGAAACUAUCGGGCUAGAGUGUGGUAGAGGAUACUGGAAUUCCCGGUGUAGCGGUGAAAUGCGUAGAUAUCGGGAGGAAUACCUAUGGCGAAAGCAGGUAUCUGGGCCAUCACUGACGCUGAGCUGCGAAAGCUAGGGGAGCAAACAGG